rnacentral:rRNA from 1 species
UCUUAAUUAGCCAUAAUUUCUCUAUCUUACCUCAAUUCAAGAAUAAUAAAUAAAAAAUUAGGGCUCUAAUUUGAUUUAGUGAUUAGAGUGUAAAACCUCUACUGAGUGUCCUUUUGCUUGGAUGAUUGCACCAUCCAAAGAGCAAAAAUCCAAAAUCAGAGAAAAUCAUGGUGUAUUUAAAACUAACAGUAGAAAAAGAUAAUGAUAAAAAAAAAGACAAAGCCUACUGAAUGGCGAUGUCAGUAGCUAGCUCAGCCAGUUUGAUUUGUGUGUUUGCAUGUCUCUCUCUAUAUAGAUAUAUACAUGUGUGUGUGCAUAUAUAUAUAUAUAUACCUUAAAUUGUGAAAGUCCAGUAGCCGAAAGUAUCACUAACUUACAUUUUAAUCCGAGUAGCAUGAGGGUACAUAAAAUCUCAUGUGAAUCAACAAGGACCACCUUGCAAGGCUAAAUACUCCUAGGUGACCGAUAGUGAAGUAGUACCAUGAGGGAAAGAUAAAAAAACCCGCAUCAGAGAGUAAAAUAGAACAUGAAAACCGUAAGCUCCCAAGCAGUGGGAGGAGAAUGUAAUCUCUGAUCACGUAUUUAUUGAAAAAUGAGCCGGCGACUUAUAGACAGUGGCUUGAUUAAGGGAACCCAUCAGAGCAGCAGUGAAAGCGAGUCUUCAUAGGGCGAUUGUCAUUACUUAUGGACCCAGACCUAGGUGAUCUAUCCAAGAUCAGGAUGAAGCUUGGGUGAAACUAAGUGGAGGUCUGAAUUGACUGAUGUUGAAAAAUCAGUGGAUAAGUUGUGGUUAGGGUGAAAUACCACUCGAAACCAGAGCUAGCUGGUUCUGUCCGAAAUAUGUUGAGGUGCAGCAGUUGACUGAAUAUCUAGGGGUAAAUCAUUAUUUUGGUGCAGACCGCGAGAGUGGUACCAAAUCGAGGUAAACUCUGAAUACUAGAUAUGAUCCCAAAAUAACAAGAGUCAAGAUCUGCUAGUGAGAUGAUGGGAGAUAAGCUUCAUCGUCGAGAGGCCGGAAAACAGCUCGAAUCACUAGCUAAGGCCCCUAAAUGACCAGUCAGUGAUAAAAGAGGUAGGGGCACAGAGAUAGCCAAGAGAUUUGCCUAGAAGCAGCAUCCUUGAAAGAGUGUGUAAUAGCUCACUGAUCGAGCACUCUUGCAUCGAAGAUGAAUGGGGUUAAGCGAUCUGCCGAAGCUGUGGAUGUAAAAAUGCAUUGGUAGUGGAGCAUUCCGUCUUAGAGGGAAGCACCCGCGCAAGCAGGUGUGGAUGAAGCGGAAGCAAGAAUAUUGGCUUGAGUAAUGCAAACAUUGGUGAGAAUCCAAUGCCCUAAAACCUAAGGAUUCUUCCACAAGGUUCGUCCACGGAGGAUGAGUCAGGAUUUAAGAUCAGACUGAAAGGUGUAGUCGGUGGACAACAGAUAAAUAUUUCUGUACUACCCCUUAUUGGCCCCGAGAGAUGGAGAAGGCUAGGUUAGCCGAAAAAUAGUUAUCAGUUUAAGGAUGCAAGGUGAUCCUGCUUUUUCAAGGUAAGAAAAGAUAGAGAAAAUACCUUGAGCCAAUGCCUGAGUAUCAGGCGCUACGGCACUAAGGUAACCCAUGCCAUACUCCCAAAAAUAGCUUGAACAACCUUUAACAAAAGGGUACCUAUAUCCAAACUCGACACAGGUGGGUAGGUAGAGAAUACUUAGAGAUGCGAGAUAACUCUUUUUAAGGAACUCGGCAAAAUAGCCCCAUAACUUCAGGAGAAGGAGUGCCUCCUCACAAAGGGGGUCACUGCAGCUAUCAGGUUUGGGCGACUAGUUACCAAAAAUACAUGUCACUGCAAAGUCAUAAAACCAUGUAUGGGGAUUGAUGCCUGUCCAAUACUAGAAGGACAAGAACGUUGAUGACCUGAUGACAGAAGAGCCAACAACCGAAGCCCUAGUGAAUGGCGGCCGUAAUUAUAACGGUCUUAAAGUAGUGAAAUUUCUUAUCGAGUAAGUUUCAACCCGUAUGAAAGGUGUAACGAUCUGGACACUAUCUCAAAGAGAGAUUUGGUGAAAUAGACAUGUCUAUGAAGAUGCGAACUAUCUAUAUCUGGACAGAAAGAUCCUACGAAGUUUUACUAUUCCUUGGGAUUAGCUUUCGACCUUUCCUGCAUAGCUUAGGUGGAAGGUAAAGAAGACCUCCUUCUGGGGGGCUCGAGCCAUCAGUGAGAUACCACUUUGAAAGAGCUAGAAUUCAAAUCUUGUGUCAGGACCUAUGGGCUAAGGAACAGUCUCAGGUAGACAGUUUCUAUGGGACGUAGACCUCCCAAAAGGUAACAGAGGUGCGCAAAAUUUUCUUGGGUCGGACGGAGAUUGGCCUUCGAGUGCAAAGAUAGAAGAGAGCUUGAUUGCAAGACCCACCUAUCGAGUAGGGACAAAAGUCGGCUUUAGUGAUCCGACAGUGACGAGUGGAAGGACUGUCACUCAAUGGAUAAAAGUUACUCUAGGGAUAACGGCUGAUCUUCCUUAAGAGUUCACAUCAAUAGAAAGAUUUGGCACCUCGAUGUCGGCUCUUCGCCAAUUGGGGCUAUAGUAUAUUCCAAGGGUUGGGCUAUUCGUCCAUUAAAGCAGUACAUGAACUGAGUUUAGAACGUCGCGAGACAGUUCGGUUCAUAUCCGAUGCAGAUGUUGGAGCAUUGAGAGGAUCCUUUUCUAGUAUAAGAGAAUCGAGAAAGACACACCUCUGGUGUACCAAUUAUCAUCUCUACGGUAAACAUUGGGUAGCCAAGUACGGAGUGAAUAACUGCUGAAAGCAUCCAAGUAGUAAGCCCACCCCAAGAUAAGUGCUCUCCUAUUCCGACUUCCUUAGAGCCUCUGGUAGCACAGUCGAGACAGCGAUGGAUCCUUUACCCUGAGGGGAUGGAGCGACAGAGGUAUUGAGAAUCCAAGAUAAAUACACACACAUAUAUAUAUA